CAGACCACCAGCUAAGGUCCCAAAAUAUAUGUUAAGUGGAAAAGGAUGUGGCGUUGCCCAGACAACUAGGAUGUUGGCUUAGAAGCAGCCAUCAUUUAAAGAGUGCGUAAUAGCUCACUAGUCGAGUGACACUGCGCCGAAAAUGUACCGGGGCUAAACAUAUUACCGAAGCUGUGGAUUGUCCUUUGGACAAUGGUAGGAGAGCGUUCUAAGGGCGUUGAAGCAUGAUCGUAAGGACAUGUGGAGCGCUUAGAAGUGAGAAUGCCGGUGUGAGUAGCGAAAGACGGGUGAGAAUCCCGUCCACCGAUUGACUAAGGUUUCCAGAGGAAGGCUCGUCCGCUCUGGGUUAGUCGGGUCCUAAGCUGAGGCCGACAGGCGUAGGCGAUGGAUAACAGGUUGAUAUUCCUGUACCACCUAUAAUCGUUUUAAUCGAUGGGGGGACGCAGUAGGAUAGGCGAAGCGUGCGAUUGGAUUGCACGUCUAAGCAGUAAGGCUGAGUAUUAGGCAAAUCCGGUACUCGUUAAGGCUGAGCUGUGAUGGGGAGAAGACAUUGUGUCUUCGAGUCGUUGAUUUCACACUGCCGAGAAAAGCCUCUAGAUAGAAAAUAGGUGCCCGUACCGCAAACCGACACAGGUAGUCAAGAUGAGAAUUCUAAGGUGAGCGAGCGAACUCUCGUUAAGGAACUCGGCAAAAUGACCCCGUAACUUCGGGAGAAGGGGUGCUCUUUAGGGUUAACGCCCAGAAGAGCCGCAGUGAAUAGGCCCAAGCGACUGUUUAUCAAAAACACAGGUCUCUGCUAAACCGUAAGGUGAUGUAUAGGGGCUGACGCCUGCCCGGUGCUGGAAGGUUAAGAGGAGUGGUUAGCUUCUGCGAAGCUACGAAUCGAAGCCCCAGUAAACGGCGGCCGUAACUAUAACGGUCCUAAGGUAGCGAAAUUCCUUGUCGGGUAAGUUCCGACCCGCACGAAAGGCGUAACGAUUUGGGCACUGUCUCAACGAGAGACUCGGUGAAAUCAUAGUACCUGUGAAGAUGCAGGUUACCCGCGACAGGACGGAAAGACCCCGUGGAGCUUUACUGUAGCCUGAUAUUGAAAUUCGGCACAGCUUGUACAGGAUAGGUAGGAGCCUUUGAAACGUGAGCGCUAGCUUACGUGGAGGCGCUGGUGGGAUACUACCCUAGCUGUGUUGGCUUUCUAACCCGCACCACUUAUCGUGGUGGGAGACAGUGUCAGGCGGGCAGUUUGACUGGGGCGGUCGCCUCCUAAAAGGUAACGGAGGCGCUCAAAGGUUCCCUCAGAAUGGUUGGAAAUCAUUCAUAGAGU
rnacentral:rRNA from 1 species